CGGUAUAUUAUUCCGCUGUAAUUUACACAUUGACCGGUACUCGUUAUGGGAUACCGAACGGUAAAAUAUUGUAUCGGAAAGUUUUUCGAUAUAACAGGCACACACUUCUGCGAUAUUAUACAAUUAUACUACUAUGCUAUUAAAAACUAUUAAGUUAUUAUGAAAAAAAAAAAAAAAUGUUUUUCCAAUCGUAUAUAUAGUAUGCACUGCGUUUACCUGUCAACAUCAUAAAUAUUGUAACUUAAGGCUCGAGUUCUUUGUUUUAAACUCAAUAUGCUA